rnacentral:rRNA from 1 species
GACGAACGCUGGCGGCGUGCUUAACACAUGCAAGUCGAACGCUGAAGCUCAGCUUUUGUUGGGUGGAUGAGUGGCGAACGGGUGAGUAACACGUGAGUAACCUGCCUCCUUCUUUGGGAUAACGCCCGGAAACGGGUGCUAAUACUGGAUAUUCACUGGUCUUCGCAUGGGGGUUGGUGGAAAGGGUGGUUCUGGUGGGGGAUGGGCUCGCGGCCUAUCAGCUUGUUGGUGGGGUGAUGGCCUACCAAGGCUUUGACGGGUAGCCGGGCUGAGAGGGUGACCGGUCACAUUGGGACUGACAUACGGCCCAGACUCGUACGGGAGGCAGCAGCGUGGACUAUUGCCCAAUGGGCGCAGGCCUGAUGCCGCGACGCCGCGUGAGGGAUGCGGGCCUUCGGGUUGUGAACCUCUUUCGCUCAUGGUGUAGCCGCAACAAUGGUUGUGGUGAGGGUAGUGGGUAAAGAAGCGCCGGCUAACUACGUG